rnacentral:rRNA from 1 species
CCUACGGGGGGCAGCAGUGAGGAAUAUUGGUCAAUGGGCGCGAGCCUGAACCAGCCAAGUCGCGUGAGGGAAGACGGUCCUAUGGAUUGUAAACCUCUUUUGUCGGGGAGCAAAAGUCGCCACGCGUGGCGUUCCGAGAGUACCCGAAGAAAAAGCAUCGGCUAACUCCGUGCCAGCAGCCGCGGUAAUACGGAGGAUGCGAGCGUUAUCCGGUUUUAUUGGGUUUAAAGGGUGCGCAGGGGGAAGAUCAAUUCAGCGGUAAAAUUGAGAGGCUCAACCUCAUAGAGCCGUUGAUACUGGUUGUCUUGAGUGAGCGAGAAGUAUGCGGAAUGCGUGGUGUAGCGGUGAAAUGCAUAGAUAUCACGCAGAACUCCGAUUGCGAAGGCAGCAUACUGGCGCUCAACUGACGCUGAUGCACGAAAGUGUGGGUAUCGAACAGGAUUAGAUACCCGAGUAGUC